AACUGAGGAUGCUGCAGACUCAUACAGAUUUGCCUCAGGAAUUGGCUCACAUGAUUGUCAAGUCUGAAAUCUGUAGAGCUGGUUGGCCGGAAAUUCAGGUAAGAGCUGAUGUUUCAGUCUUGAGUCCAAAAUCUGCAGAGCAGGCCAAUAGGCUGAAAACUCAGGCAGGGCUUCUGUGUUGAAAUACUGAGGAAGAACGGCUUUUUUUUUUUCAGGAAACCUGUUUGCUCUUAAAUUCUUCAACUGAUUGGAUCAGGCCCAUCCACAUUAUGGAGGGUGAUCUGUUUUACUUUACUUAAAGUCAAAUGAUUAUAAAUUUUACCACAUCUACAAAUAUCUUUACAGCGACAUCGAGACUAGUGUUUGACAAAACACCUGGGCACCCUAGGCUAGUCAAGUUGAUAUAAAAAUAACUAGCAUGAGCAGAUUCCAAUUUGAACUAAAUUCUGUCUGCUCAAGAAUAUGAGUCUAGUGAUUGAUUUUUUUCCUAUUUCCAAAGAGCAGUGAUUUUUAAAAUUUAGGAUGACUGAAGUUUUAAUUUGCUUUAAGACUCAGUUGACCAGUCAUUUGAGGAAAAUCUUUCAACAGUAUAUUUGCAAUGUAUUUAGCCAUUCUAAUCAGUAGUUUUGCUUAACACAAGGUGGCUUGUGAAGUGAUUCUGAAUUAUUUCAUGAUGGUUGAAAGGAGGCCAACUAUAAUAAAACAAUGCAAACAAAUUAGUGAAGCUAAACAGGAAACACACUGGUGAACUCACUGCCAUCAUCUGGCAUUUUCAAUUUUGCUUCCAAUUUAAAAAUAGCUAACAUGCACAAUGUACUGUACUGUUCUACAGUGAAGAUGGUCAGUAAUGAGGUGUUUUCACAAUUCAAUGUAAUCUCUCACUUCCAUCUCUGAUAUUUCAUUUACAAAUGAAUCAAGUCAUGCAAAUGAUUUCAGGAUAACCCCCACCCCACGAGUCCCUAGUCUUAAUGAGUUGUGAGUUGGGCAUGUAAGAAUAUUAAUAAAUGUGGAAACGGUGACUCCUGGCAUUGUUGCUAAACUUUAAUAUUGCAUAGAUGCUGUGGGACUAAAUGUAAAUACAUCAAUACUUUGUUGCUGACAGAUUAACUGUGGGAAAGCUAGUGAUUAUUUUUCAGACUUAGAACUAUCAGUAUAAUUAACAAAGGGUUAUUCAGAUUAUUUUAAAUAAGACAAUUAUAUAUUACCUAAAAAUACUUAGAACUAGUCCUUUUCCAUGCAUGUGGAAAAUUACGCUCAGCCAAGUUAUGAAACUUGCUCAAAGCAGCAGACCCACUCCAGGGCCUGCUUUUCACUACAGAUUCUGAAACACAGAAGGAAUUAAAAUGCUUGCUCUUG
rnacentral:lncRNA from 1 species